UACAGAGGUCUCAAGCGUUGUUCGGAUUCAUUGGGCGUAAAGGGUGCGUAGGCGGCGCGGUAAGUCGGGUGUGAAAUCUCGGAGCUUAACUCCGAAACUGCAUUCGAUACUGCCGUGCUUGAGGACUGGAGAGGAGACGAGGAAUUUACGGUGUAGCGGUGAAAUGCGUAGAUAUCGUAAGGAAGACCAGUGGCGAAGGCGGGUCUCUGGACAGUUCCUGACGCUGAGGCACGAAGGUCAGGGGAGCAAACGGG
rnacentral:rRNA from 1 species